rnacentral:rRNA from 1 species
UGGGGAAUAUUGGACAAUGGGCGAAAGCCUGAUCCAGCCAUGCCGCGUGUGUGAAGAAGGCCUUUUGGUUGUAAAGCACUUUAAGCGAGGAGGAGGCUACUUAGAUUAAUACUCUAGGAUAGUGGACGUUACUCGCAGAAUAAGCACCGGCUAACUCUGUGCCAGCAGCCGCGGUAAUACAGAGGGUGCGAGCGUUAAUCGGAUUUACUGGGCGUAAAGCGUGCGUAGGCGGCUUUUUAAGUCGGAUGUGAAAUCCCUGAGCUUAACUUAGGAAUUGCAUUCGAUACUGGGCAGCUAGAGUAUGGGAGAGGAUGGUAGAAUUCCAGGUGUAGCGGUGAAAUGCGUAGAGAUCUGGAGGAAUACCGAUGGCGAAGGCAGCCAUCUGGCCUAAUACUGACGCUGAGGUACGAAAGCAUGGGGAGCAAACAGG